rnacentral:rRNA from 1 species
AGUCACUGACAUUAGAUACCCGUGUAGUCCCAGCCCUAAACGAUGCGCGUUAGGUGUAUCGGUGACCACGAGUCACCGAGGUGCCGAAGGGAAACCGUGAAACGUGCCGCCUGGGAAGUACGGUCGCAAGGCUGAAACUUAAAGGAAUUGGCGGGGGAGCACCGCAACGGGAGGAGCGUGCGGUUCAAUUGGAUUCAACGCCGGACAACUCACCAGGAGCGACGGUUACAUGAAGGCCAAGCUGAAGACUUUGCCGGAUUAGCUG